rnacentral:rRNA from 1 species
AACGAACGCUGGCGGCAUGCCUAAUACAUGCAAGUCGAACGAGACCUUCGGGUCUAGUGGCGCACGGGUGCGUAACGCGUGGGAAUCUGCCCUUGGGUUCGGAAUAACUUCGGGAAACUGAAGCUAAUACCGGAUGAUGACGAAAGUCCAAAGAUUUAUCGCCCAGGGAUGAGCCCGCGUAGGAUUAGCUAGUUGGUGGGGUAAAGGCUCACCAAGGCAACGAUCCUUAGCUGGUCUGAGAGGAUGAUCAGCCACACUGGGACUGAGACACGGCCCAGACUCCUACGGGAGGCAGCAGUAGGGAAUAUUGGACAAUGGGCGAAAGCCUGAUCCAGCAAUGCCGCGUGAGUGAUGAAGGCCUUAGGGUUGUAAAGCUCUUUUUACCCGAGAUGAUAAUGACAGUAUCGGGAGAAUAAGCUCCGGCUAACUCCGUGCCAGCAGCCGUGGUAAU